GAAGUAGCAGUAGCAGAAAGCUUUCUGUGUCCUUCACUGGCUGCAAGGUGUGACAAGGAGAAAGGUUAUGUUUCAGAAGCCUUUGCAGCUUCAGAAGGCCAGAUAACCUCCAAAAUUACCCAAGGAUUCAUCAUAUCAAGGGACAAACAGCUUCCUGCUUCUUCUCUCUGUGUCCUCUCAGGGCUAUAGUGUCUGGCCCUCUCUCAAGAUCUGGGUUUUCCUCUAUCUGGAUUCUCCCAGGUCAGGUCAGAUUUGGAGCUUGGACAACAUAUAAAAGUGCUUCUAAAUUACUAGGAGGAACAUUGUGAACACGAGAAGUCCUAAAAUCCUCUCCCCAGAGAUGUGGUUUGGAAGAAAGUUCAACAAUCUAUGCGUGUCAUAAGUACUGCAAGAAAUUCUAGUGCUGGUGGUCCAUGGACCACCUUUGAAACCCCCGUCCAUCCCGGCCCAGAGCAUCUCUUACUGCUGAAAUCCCAGAAAACCUCCCUGGCCCCCUUUUGCUGGGCAACACAAGACAGCUCGGCAGGAUUUAGGUUACAUGACAAACAUUUAGUGAGUGGCCCCACUUGGGCCAGGCAGUCACUACUCUGGGACCCUGCUCCUCCUGCCUUUCCCCGCUCCUUCCUUUUCCCAAUCCCCUCGUGUUGCUUCUCACCUCCGGCUCCUUUGCUCUCACUGCCUUCUUGAACUCUCUGAAGCCACUGAACCUCUGAGGCUGGGAGUCCUCUUCUCCUCUAAACUUCUCUUUCCUUAGCUGAGUGGGGACUCAGCCCCAGUAAGUGGGAUCCUGGCUCUGAUAUGGUUUGGCUGUGUCUCCACUCAAAUCUCAUCUUGAAUUGUAACUCCCACAAUUCCCACGUGUCAUGGGAGGAACCCAGUGGGAGGUGAUUAAGUUCUGGAGUUGGGUCUUUCCUGCACUGUUCUUGUGAUAAUGAAUAUAUGUCACAAGACCUGAUGAUUUUAGAAAAUGGGAGUUGGCCAGAACAAGCUCUCUCUUUUCACCUGCCGCCAUCCAUAUAAGACGUUACUUGCUCCUCCUUACAUUUUACCUUCUGCCAUGAUUGUGAGGCCUCUCUAGUCACAAGGAACUGUAAAACCAAUAAAACUCUUUCUUUUGUAAGUUGCCCAGUAUCGGGUAUGUCUUUAUCAGCAGUGUGAAAAUGGACUAAUACAAGCUCCAAAACUUCAAUCAAAAAGAAAGGAAGGUAUGUGAUUCAGCAGCCCAAGUAAUUUCAGAGAGUUAAUGAA